rnacentral:rRNA from 1 species
AACGGGGUCUAAUUCCGGAUAAGACACUCUCGGGCAUCCGAUGAGUGUGGAAAGCUCCGACGGUGAAGGAUGAGGCCGCGGCCUAUCAGCUUGUUGGAGAGGGAACGGCUCACCAAGGCGACGACGGGUAGCCGGCCUGAGAGGGCGACCGACCACACUGAGACUGAGACACGGCCCACACUCCUACGGGAGGCAGCAGUGGGGAAUAUUGCACAAUGGGCGAAAGCCUGAUGCAGCGACGCCGCGUGAGGGAUGACGGCCUUCGGGUUGUAAACCUCUUUCAGCAGGGAAGAAGCGAAAGUGACGGUACCUGCAGAACAAGCACCGGCUAACUACGUUCCAGCAGCCGCGGUAAUACGUAGGGCGCGAGCGUUGUCAGUAAUUAUUGGGCGUAAAGAGCUCGUAGCCGGUCUGUCGCGUCGGAUGUGAAAGCCCGGGGCUUAACCCCGGGUAUGCAUUUGAUUCGGGCACACUAGAGUGUGGUAGGGGAGAUGGGAAAUCCUGGUGUAGCGGUGAAAUGCGCAGAUAUCAGGA